AUUCCGAUAACGAACGAGACUCUAGCCUGCUAAAUAGGCGUACCUUAUGGUAUCUUGAAGGCACCCGGCCACGGCCGUCGUGUUUUUACAACCAACGUACAAACAAAUCUUCUUAGAGGGACAGGCGGCUUCUAGCCGCACGAGAUUAAGCAAUAACAGGUCUGUGAUUCCCUUAGUUGUUCUGGGCUGCACGCGCGCUACACUGAAGGAAUCAGCGUGUGUACCCUGGCCGAAAGGACCGGGUAACCCGCUGAACCUCCUUCGUGCUAGGGAUUGGGUCUUGCAAUUGUUCCCCAUGAACGAGGAGUUCCCAGUAAGCGCGAGUCAUAAGCUCGCGUUGAUUACGUAACUGCCCUUUGUAC
rnacentral:ncRNA from 1 species